rnacentral:lncRNA from 1 species
GCACGGGCCACAGGAAAACCCAUGCAUGUGACCCUGCUGUGAUAAUAAGUCUGUCUGAUCUCGGCCUAAGCUACCUCACAAGAUUGUUGUGAGGCUAUACAACCUUUAGGAUAUACCUGCCAUAAAUAAAUAUCUGGACCUAUCUUGCUUUCUCUUGCUAGGAUGUUUUUCCCUGAAAACUGGAUCUGGUUAGCUCUCAUACAGAAUAUGCCUUCAAAUAGAUGAACUGUAUAAAUUAACCAUGUAAAUCAAAUCUUUGCUGUUUCUCUGCAGAACAACUUCCGCUGUCCCGUUAUGUUGUCCCUGUUCUUCUCUUGAUUGGGUGGAUUGCAGGUUGUGCAUUAAUGGUUUACUAUGUCUUCUCCUAGAAGAAGGGAAGAAACCUUGGCAAAAGCACUUUGAAACUGGAUGAAGAUUCUGUUUUCUUUUUUUAUUCUAUAUUAAAUUAAAUUCUAGUAAUGUAAAGGAGCGAUCAUAUGUAUACAUUUGUCAGAAUUCANCACCUUACAUUCUCAGAUCAGAUCCAUGAAAUCAGGAAACAGGCAGAGAAGUGAAACAUCAUGAUCUUCACCUUAUUGCGAUAAUAGAAUACAAGGAAAU